rnacentral:tRNA from 1 species
GGUGAGAUGGCCGAGUUGGUUAUGGCGUCAGGUUAAGGUCACCUUAACGACAAUUUCCUGGUGGAGCAAUCCUCCUGGGUUCGAGUCCCAGUCUCAUCA